GAUGAAGAACGCAGCGAAAUGCGAUAAGUAAUGUGAAUUGCAGAAUUCAGUGAAUCAUCGAAUCUUUGAACGCACAUUGCGCCCGCCAGUAUUCUGGCGGGCAUGCCUGUUCGAGCGUCAUUUCAACCAUCAAGCCCCCGGCUUGUGUUGGGGACCUGCGGCUGCCGCAGGCCCUGAAAAGCAGUGGCGGGCUCGCUGUCACACCGAGCGUAGUAGCAUACAUCUCGCUCUGGGCGUGCUGCGGGUUCCGGCCGUUAAACCACCUUCAUAACCCAAGGUUGACCUCGGAUCAGGUGGGAAGACCCGCUGAACUUAAGCAUAUCAAUAAGCGGAGGA
rnacentral:misc_RNA from 1 species